rnacentral:rRNA from 1 species
AGGGUGCAGGGCGGAUGCCUUGGCACUAGGAGCCGAUGAAGGACGUGAUAAGCUGCGAUAAGCUUCGGGGAGUUGCACGUAAACUUUGAUCCGAAGAUUUCCGAAUGAGGAAACUCACUUAGAGUAAUGUCUAAGUAUCAUUAAGUGAAUACAUAGCUUAAUGAGGGGAACUCAGGGAACUGAAACAUCUAAGUACCUGAAGGAAGAGAAAGAAAUUCGAUUCCGUAAGUAGCGGCGAGCGAACGCGGAUUAGCCCAAACCAAUAAAGUUUUCUUUAUUGGGGUUGCGGACAUAUCAUAACGAAGAGGUAUCGUAAUUGAAGAGGUUUGGAAAGACCCACCACAGAAGGUAAUAGUCCUGUAUGUUAAACGAGAAGACUUUAGAUAUGAUCCAGAGUACCACGGGACACGUGAAACCCUGUGGGAAGCAGGAGGGACCACCCUCCAAGGCUAAAUACUACCUAGUGACCGAUAGCGUAUAGUACCGUGAGGGAAAGGUGAAAAGAACCCCGGGAGGGGAGUGAAAUAGAACCUGAAACCCUGCACUUACAAGCUGUGGAAGCACAUUUCUUGUGUGACCGCGUACUUUUUGUAGAACGGGCCAACGAGUUACGUUAAGUAGCAAGGUUAAGCACUUAAGGUGUGGAGCCGUAGCGAAAGCGAGUUUUAACUGAGCGUUCAGUUACUUGACGUAGACCCGAAACCGGGCGACCUACCCAUGAGCAGGAUGAAGCGAAAGUAAAAUUUCGUGGAGGUCCGAACCCACGAGCGUUGAAAAGCUCGGGGAUGACUUGUGGGUAGCGGUGAAAUUCCAAUCGAGCCCGGAGAUAGCUGGUUCUCCCCGAAAUAGCUUUAGGGCUAGCCUCAAGGUGAGAGAUACGGAGGUAGAGCACUGAAUGUCCUAGGGGGUAUUGCACCUACCGAAGACUAUCAAACUCCGAAUGCCGUCAUCUUAUACUUGGGAGUCAGACUGUGGGUGAUAAGAUUCAUAGUCGAAAGGGCAACAGCCCAGAUCGUCAGCUAAGGUCCCUAAAUGUAAGUUAAGUGGUAAAGGAUGUGGGAUUGCACAGACAACCAGGAUGUUGGCUUAGAAGCAGCCACUCAUUCAAAGAGUGCGUAAUAGCUCACUGGUCGAGUGAUCCUGCGCCGAAGAUUUCCGGGGCUAAAACUUACUACCGAAGCUACGGCAUCAGUAAUGAUGGGUAGGGGAGCUUCCCAUACGGGUUGAAGCAUGACCGUAAGGACAUGUGGACAGUAUGGGAGUGAGAAUGUUGGCAUGAGUAGCGAGAUGUGGGUGAGAAUCCCACAGGCCGUAAACCCAAGGUUUCCAGGGGAAGGUUCGUCCGCCCUGGGUUAGUCGGGACCUAAGCUGAGGCCGAAAGGCGUAGGUGAUGGACAACAGGUUGAUAUUCCUGUACUACCGAUAACCGUUUGAGAGAAGGGAUGACACAGUAGGAUAAGCUAAGCACACUGUUGGUUAUGUGUGCCCAAGCAUUGAGGCAGUCAAAGUAGGCAAAUCCGCUUUGAUAAUGCUGGGAUGUGAUGGGGAGCGAAAUUUAGUAGCGAAGUAGCUGAUUUCACACUGUCAAGAAAAGUCUCUAUCGAGGUUAAAGGUACCCGUACCGCAAACCGACACAGGUGGGUGAGGAGAGUAUCCUAAGGCCAGCGAGAGAACUGUUGUUAAGGAACUCGGCAAAAUGACCCCGUAACUUAGGGAUAAGGGGUGCCACCAUCAGGUGGCCGCAGAGAAUAGGCCCAAGCGACUGUUUACCAAAAACAUAGGUUUCUGCUAAGUCGCAAGACGAUGUAUAGGAGCUGACGCCUGCCCGGUGCUGGAAGGUUAAGGGGAUCUGUUAGAGCAAUCGAAGCAGUGAACUUAAGCCCCAGUAAACGGCGGCCGUAACUAUAACGGUCCUAAGGUAGCGAAAUUCCUUGUCGGGUAAGUUCCGACCCGCACGAAAGGCGUAACGAUUUGGGCACUGUCUCAACAACAGACUCGGUGAAAUUGUAAUUCCGGUGAAGAUGCCGGAUACCUGCGACAGGACGGAAAGACCCCAUGGAGCUUUACUGUAGCUUGACAUUGGGUCUUGGUACUACAUGUACAGGAUAGGUGGGAGGCUUUGAAACCAGGACGCCAGUUUUGGCGGAGCCAUCCUUGGGAUACCACCCUUGUAGUACUGGGACUCUAACCAUAGGCCAUGAAUCUGGUCUUGGGACACUGUCAGGUGGGCAGUUUGACUGGGGCGGUCGCCUCCCAAAAGGUAACGGAGGCGCUCAAAGGUUCUCUCAGUACGGUCGGAAAUCGUACGUAGAGUGUAAAGGCAAAAGAGAGCUUGAUUGCAAGACAUACAGGUCGAGCAAGGAUGAAAAUCGGACUUAGUGAUCCGGUGGUUCUGCGUGGAAGGGCCAUCGCUCAACGGAUAAAAGCUACCCUGGGGAUAACAGGCUUAUCUCCCCCAAGAGUCCACAUCGACGGGGAGGUUUGGCACCUCGAUGUCGGCUCAUCACAUCCUGGGGCUGUAGUAGGUCCCAAGGGUUGGGCUGUUCGCCCAUUAAAGUGGUACGCGAG